rnacentral:lncRNA from 14 species
AGGCUGGAUGGAACAUGGGUGUCUGGUGGAGAGGAGCUGGUGGAUGGCGGAUACUACGUGGCAGUGGGAAAUGAGGAGUACAAGAAACUGCCUUACUUUGAGCUGCUGGUGCCCCAGGAUCCUGCCAGGAGGACACUGUGGAACCACCCAAAUAACAGGAACAAAAGGCACCUCCAGAGGGUGAGUGGCUCAGCUGGUUCAGAACUGUGUGUGCUACCAUCACUGUUGUUGCUGCACCAUUCCUCCACAAGCAGUGGAUGUGUCCAGCAAUCUCCAUUCCCAGUUGCCAUGGCUACGGUACCUUUGCUUGCACCAUUCCCAAAGGAAUGACAUGUUAUAUUGGAGGUGAUUCACAAUUCUGCAUAGGAAGGCUCUUUGGAUGAAUUAGAACUUCAAAGGAAAACAACUCCUUUGAACUUACAAAGGAGAGAAAGCUCCAGUGAAGAGGUAGCUGAUGGUUCCUCAGGGGGGAGCCUGCUGUGCUGAGUUUGCUAGAGAGGCUGGGCAGCAUUUCACAGUGGUUGGACACUGUCAGCCUUGCCCCCUGGACCACAGCUGUUAGUGUUUGGGUGUCACAGCUCUCCUCUGCAGUGGGACAGAAUCAUUGGGGGUUAACUAAACUACCUCUGAAUUAAGUGUAGAGACCCAAGUUUACAUACUGAAGCCAUAAGACUGGAAAGGGAAUCCUGGAAUUUAGUCCCAGGAUCCUCCUGUAAUAGUGAGGUGUGACAUUGAUAUCUUUCUCAGCACAAAAAGGCACAGGCUACAGGCAAAUCACAAGAGGCUGUGGCAAGGAAAAGGGAUGCCAGUGACUCUGAGGAUGACAAGCACCGAAUGAUGCUGCCCCUGGCUGGAAAGAGCUCGGAGGAGUUGGCAGAGGGAGUGUGAUGGGAGAAGAGGUACAUUCAGGUACACCCCUACCUGCACAGCUGCAGUAACAGCAGCAUGUGAAUCCCAGAUUCCUGGACUACCACAGCCUGGCCAGGCAUUCUGAUGGAUUCACAAACUCCCAAAAUCAAGCAUCCUCAUCAUCUGGGCUUGAGAAGCACGGUACCAGCGAGCAAUGCAUCAGAGGCACACUACUGUUAAAUGAUGAAGAUCUUUCCCCUUUACUGCUGCUUGUCUGAACUGUAAUUCAGCUGGUUUGGAUCUGAACUUGGGAAGGAGGAAUUACUAAAUAGAAU